CAUGGAGGGUGAGAAUCCCGUCCGGUUGAUCAUUUGCGUUUUACGAUACGCUUUCUAAGAGUCAAGUUGUUUGGGAUUGCAGCUUAAAAUGGGAGGUAAAUUUCUCCUAAGGCUAAAUAACGGCGAGAGACCGAUAGCGAACAAGUACCGUGAGGGAAAGAUGAAAAGAACUUUGAAAAGAGAGUUAAACAGUACGUGAAAUUGUUGAAAGGGAAACGAUUGAAGCCAGUCGUACCUUCGGGUAAUCAGCCUUUCGGGUGCGAUUCUGUGGAGUUUGAGGAGCUUAACACCUUCAUGCUUUGCAUAUUCGUACUCUUGGGUGUACUUGCCCGUGUGGUUGGUUAACAUCAAUUUUGGUGGUCAUAAAAUGACUGGAGGAAUGUAGCUUCGAUCUCGUAUUGAAGUGUUAUAGCCUUCGGUAGAUGUGAUGAUCGAGAUUGAGGAUUGCAACGGAUACCCUUCGGGGCUACCUGUCUGGUCUCUGAUCGUUGCUCUGGUGCCGAAAGCUUGCUUACGGUAAUCAAAGUCGAUGGUCAAUAGGUUAGAACGGGUUAAAUUCGUUAAGGAUGUUGACGUAAUGG
rnacentral:rRNA from 1 species